UACGUAGGGGGCUAGCGUUAUCCGGAAUUACUGGGCGUAAAGGGUGCGUAGGUGGUUUCUUAAGUCAGAGGUGAAAGGCUACGGCUCAACCGUAGUAAGCCUUUGAAACUGGGAAACUUGAGUGCAGGAGAGGAGAGUUGAAUUCCUAGUGUAGCGGUGAAAUGCGUAGAUAUUAGGAGGAACACCAGUAGCGAAGGCGGCUCUCUGGACUGUAACUGACGCUGAGGCACGAAAGCGUGGGGAGCAAACAGGAUUAGAUACCCUGGUAGUCCCUGAG
rnacentral:rRNA from 1 species